rnacentral:rRNA from 1 species
UACAGAGGGUGCGAGCGUUAAUCGGAAUUACUGGGCGUAAAGCGCGCGUAGGCGGCUUUUCAAGUCGAUUGUGAAAUCCCCGGGCUCAACCUGGGAAUGGCAAUGGAUACUGGGCAGCUAGAGUGUGUCAGAGGAUGGUGGAAUUCCCGGUGUAGCGGUGAAAUGCGUAGAGAUCGGGAGGAACAUCAGUGGCGAAGGCGGCCAUCUGGGACAACACUGACGCUGAAGCACGAAAGCGUGGGGAGCAAACAGG